AUUAUUAUUAUUAUUAUUAUUACAAAAGUAGAUAAAAGGGCGAGUUGUACUUAGUCACUCAAGUUCAACAGAAAAUUCAUGUCUAGAUUCAAUUCAACAUGAAUAUAAGACAUAAAUAUGUAAGACUUAUAUCUUUAAUACUAAGUACAAGUUUCAGCUUUCAUCAAGGCUUACAAUAAAGUGAAGUACCAUCAGAAAGGUGAAGGGUGCAGUUCUUGGGAGCCAAGCAGCAGUUGCACCUGGGGCUAAGCUUCUUAUCCCCUGAAGACUGGCAAGUCAUGUAGUCUACAUCCAAGCAAUAAAGAGGGCAAGCUAUGGCUCUCCCACUCCCAGGAAUGAUCCCUAAUGAAAUAGUACCUGAAAUUAAUUGCAGAGGGAAGAAAAAUUACAAACAAAUCAGUCAAUUAAAAAGAAAUCUGAGAUUCAACUCUUUUCCAUUUAUGUUCCUCGUGUCAACUGCACAACCAACAGUGUGCAGCUUAAGUUUAGGAAGCAACUUUUUGAAGAAGAGAUUAGAGGAUCUAAAUCAGUACCAAAUCGGAUGAAAUCGCAAAAAAUAAUCCAUAUAAUCGAAUUAAUAUGAUAUUUUACAAUUUAAGUAUACCAUAGAGAGAAGAACUAAGAAAGCAUACCAUAGAGAAAGAGAAGAAGUAUGACACCGGCUCUGAAACCACCCAUUCUCUGCUUCCAGUUAUGAAUUAUGGAAGGAUUGAUUGAUGUUUUUAUUUUAAGUGGGAAGGAUUGGAAAAUUGAUAUGCCCAUUUGCAAUAUCAAUAAUCAUUAUCCAUUGGUUAAGUCAACAGCACUAGCAGUGAUUGCUGACUUUGAUAUAUAUAUGCUAAGUGGGGUAAUUAGUGCACCAAAUUAAUUAAUAACCCAUGUAUGGUAGUGGAGAGAAGAUUGAAAUUAAAGUCUGCAUCAUGCGUAAUCUUUAUGUCAACUACGCAACCAAUAGUGACAUAGUUGACUAAAGAUUGAGCAGUAGCAUAGUAAUUAAUUACCCUUUUUCAAUUGAGUGAGAUGGUUGAGUGGAUUAAAGUAUCGGAUUGUUAAUCCGUUGUGCGAUGGUAAUUUUAUCUAUUACUUUAUUAUAAAAAAUUAAUUUAGUUUAAAAAUUAAAAUUUAUGAGUUAA
rnacentral:misc_RNA from 1 species